UACGUAGGGUGCGAGCGUUAAUCGGAAUUACUGGGCGUAAAGCGUGCGCAGGCGGCUUUGCAAGACAGGCGUGAAAUCCCCGGGCUCAACCUGGGAAUUGCGCUUGUGACUGCAAAGCUGGAGUGCGGCAGAGGGGGAUGGAAUUCCGCGUGUAGCAGUGAAAUGCGUAGAUAUGCGGAGAAACACCGAUGGCGAAGGCAAUCCCCUGGGCCUGCACUGACGCUCAUGCACGAAAGCGUGGGGAGCAAACAGG
rnacentral:rRNA from 1 species